rnacentral:rRNA from 1 species
UAACACAUGCAAGUCGAACGGAACUGUUUUGAAAGAUUUCUUCGGAAUGAAUUUGAUUUAGUUUAGUGGCGGACGGGUGAGUAACGCGUGAGUAACCUGCCUUCAAGAGGGGGAUAACAUUCUGAAAAGAAUGCUAAUACCGCAUGAUAUAUCGGAACCACAUGGUUCUGAUAUCAAAGAUUUUAUCGCUUGAAGAUGGACUCGCGUCCGAUUAGUUAGUUGGUGAGGUAACGGCUCACCAAGACCGCGAUCGGUAGCCGGACUGAGAGGUUGAACGGCCACAUUGGGACUGAGACACGGCCCAGACUCCUACGGGAGGCAGCAGUGGGGGAUAUUGCGCAAUGGGGGCAACCCUGACGCAGCAACGCCGCGUGAAGGAUGAAGGUUUUCGGAUUGUAAACUUCUUUUAUUAAGGACGAAAAAUGACGGUACUUAAUGAAUAAGCUCCGGCUAACUACGUGCCAGCAGCCGCGGUAAUACGUAGGGAGCAAGCGUUGUCCGGAUUUACUGGGUGUAAAGGGUGCGUAGGCGGCUUUGCAAGUCAGAUGUGAAAUCUAUGGGCUCAACCCAUAAACUGCAUUUGAAACUGUAGAGCUUGAGUGAAGUAGAGGCAGGCGGAAUUCCCCGUGUAGCGGUGAAAUGCGUAGAGAUGGGGAGGAACG